CGCCUCUUGAAACUACAUAAGAGGUCCAGCCUGCCCAGUGACUAAGUUCAACGGCCGCGGUAUCCUAACCGUGCGAAGGUAGCGUAAUCACUUGUUCUUUAAAUGAGGACUAGUAUGAAUGGCACCACGAGGGUUAUGCUGUCUCCUUUUUCUAAUCAAUGAAACUGAUCUCCCCGUGAAGAAGCGGGGAUAUAUCUAUAAGACGAGAAGACCCUAUGGAGCUUUAAAUCAUGUAACACUGGCUUUCACAUUAAAAUAUUCCAGAAUUUUUCAUUAUUACUCUAGCCACUAUGAUUACUAGUUUUAGGUUGGGGUGACCACGGAGCAAAAAUUAACCUCCAUGUUGAACGGAGCUACUCCUGAGCCAAAAGCCACGACUUUAAGCACUAAUAAAUUAACAUUAAUUGACCCAAUAUUUUUGAUCAACGAACCAAGUUACCCUAGGGAUAACAGCGCA
rnacentral:rRNA from 1 species